CGAACGGGUGAGUAACGCGUGAGUAACCUGCCCUAGAGUGGGGGACAACAGUUGGAAACGACUGCUAAUACCGCAUAAGCCCACGGAUCCGCAUGGAUCUGCGGGAAAAGGAUUUAUUCGCCUUAGGAUGGACUCGCGUCCAAUUAGCUAGUUGGUGAGGUAACGGCCCACCAAGGCGACGAUUGGUAGCCGGACUGAGAGGUUGAACGGCCACAUUGGGACUGAGACACGGCCCAG
rnacentral:rRNA from 1 species